rnacentral:lncRNA from 1 species
AAGUUGCCACAUGUGCGAGUUUUGUAACUCAGUGACGGUUUUGAAUAGAGAGCCCCCCAACUUAUCAAUUGUCAGGCACAUCAAUAUCAAUUUUUCAGUCUGCAUGCAAGUGUAAAAUACUAUUAGUAAAAUCCUAAAUUAAUUUGCCAUGCAUUUCGUUUGGCUUUCUUCCUGCAACACAGCAUGAAACCAUAAGUAAAAGAAACAGUAGACAAAUUGCAUUUGCAGCAAAAAGCAUCUAAGGUGAAUAUGGGUAUUCCUCAACGCAUCCAAUAAUAUCCAGGAUCUGAUUAGCUAAGGCCUGUAGUCAAAGAUUGUGUGCCUUAACCCAUCAGAUGCAAAUUAAAAGAAACAUGACAAUGCAAAUUCACAUAAUAGCAAUCUGAAUAUAUAUAUCACUUGAUAACAUGGACACUAUCACUGACUCAAAUUAGCAAAUCUAAUAACCAAAGAAAGACGGUGUCGGACUCGUAAACCACAAAGAAUCAUUGGAUUCCAUCAAUUUACAGAAGGACGGUGUCGUAAAAAAAGCCGUCUCCAUAUACCAUAGUUAAGAUCCUUCAUCAUUCUAUACAAGAGAUAAGUCCUUCUAAAGGUAAAUACUUUUCUAAUCUUUUCAUCCUAUUUAUAAAUACCAACAUAGUAAUGAAAGAUAACUAUGGCCACCGGAACACAAGAAUCGGCCCUUUUCCUGCAUUAAGAAUGAAGCCUCCCACACCACAGCGACAAGAUCCCUAAUUUCCUCGUAACUCUUAACUGAGGUUUAAAACUAUAGGCUGGGAUCAUAUGUACGUAAAAGAAAGACGAAAAUUUAGUUACUCCUAAGGUAAAAAACUUAGAAUAUGUACUCCUUAAGUAUGUCAACAAAGCACUGUCAAAUUCCGUUUGCUCCAAAAGCACCUAAGAAUUCUCAAAGAAAAACAUUACCUGAAUAGUUUUAUCUCUCAUCCAUGACAAAAGAACAAGAGCGCAAAUUAGUAAUCGACCGACUACCUCGUCAUUGCUACAGGAAGAAGUACAAACAGAUAUGAUGGAUUGGAAUCUCUAGAAAUCUGAUCUUGGUUGUAAGAUACAAAAAGUACACGCUUCAAACUCGUAGCAACCGCUAAAAUUACUAUGCUCAGAUUAUGAAGUUGAUUCAGAACCUGAAGGAUAUUAUUAUACGUUAAAUUUACAUGCAAUGUCAUGGGUUUCUAAUGCUAUUCUUUCCAUAAAAUUUGAUUUUCACCUGAGUAACCCAAAUAAUAAGGAUAUAGAAUCAACUCGAUACAAAUUAUCAAACUGAAACCAUAAUUUUUUUUUAUUGUUUCUUCAGUAUAAACCAAAUCGAAUUAGAUGGAAUGAAUAUUACUUAGACUAAACCCAGCUUAUUGUCACUUGAACCGUGAAAUGACUGGAGAACAACAAAAUUGACGAAAUUUGACAGGUUUUCAGUGAAGUCUUCCUUUUCAAUACAUUUUUUUUUUUUUCAUUCAAAAAAUUCGAAGCCAAUAUGUUGUUUAAAAAAUCUAAAUUCAGUAUAACUUGCACCAAUGAAAUGUUAGUGCUUCCGAAGGUGCGUGAUUUAACGAACAAAGCAAAAAGAAAAUCAUAAAGAAAAAUGUUUUCAAGUAGAACAUGUGCCUAAAGUCAUGAACAUAUGGAUGUUAUGCCCAACCAAAAACCACGGAACAGAAACAGAACAAAUCUCAAGAAAUUAAAUCCUUCAGCUUCAACUUACGAUUCAGUGCAGUGUGAGAAUGCAUCAGAACACGAACAACCGAAAUCCUCGUAACCAUCAUCAAAGUCCACGACAUUUGACUACAAUCGAAACGACAGGUUCAAGCGAAAAACAGAACAACCGACAGGCUAUGAAGAGGAUUUGAAUGUACCUGAAGAAAUUGAGCAGUUUGAAGAGAUCUGUGUCCUCGGAAAUCGUCUCGAAACGACGUCAAUCCGAUGCUCCAUACGUUCGUUUCGUUCGGACUUCGAAGACCCUUUGCUGAAGCGAUUCAGGUUGUAUGAUGGAUUAUGUCGAGCCAAAAACGGUGCCGUUCUGCGCAACGUGUUGUGAGGUUGAAGAUGAGAAAGCGAAAUGCCGAAACAGCGCGCAUUCGCGUAGGCCCCACACACAGUUACCAUUCGCGACGCUAUUUGGAAUGCGGGACCUAUUAUUAAG